ensembl:lncRNA
GUCCAGCUUUCUGGUGCUCACUGCGGGCUGUGAAGAUGAGCCGAAUUGUGAAGGAGUGAGUGUCGCAUGCCCCUGUGAUUAUGGUAGGGUUUGAUACGGGAUCCCUGUGGUCUGAUGGUGAUGUUUGGAGAUGGAUGUCGGGUUUGUGAGUGGAGUGCCGGGUACCUUGGCCAGUAUUACAGCUUGCUUGUAAAUUCACUGCAGAGCUCCUCGUUGCUGUUCUGAAAAUGACAUCCCUCCCUCCCUUCCCUCUGUCUGGCAGGAGCUGAAGUUGCCAUUAGUGUUAUUUACCAGACAUUUCCAACUUCCUCAUUCUCAGUCCUUGGCUAGGCUUAUAUUUCCUCAUCUACUUUAAAACUGGAUAUGGCCCUGAGACCUCCUGUGGUCCCAGUAAACCUCCACUGUCAGGUAAGAAAGCGGUGUUUGCACUAUCUACUGACAUCUGGGGUUUGCUUGUUAGUUCAGCAUCACUGAUGUAUCCUGACCCACACACCUGGCAGAUGCUUGCAAGACCCACAAGGCGGGGGACUCUGCCUGGUUUGUUCACCAUCCCAGUCCCAGGACCUAGCAUAGUGCCCAGCACAUCUAAGUAGUUGAUCAAUACUUGCUGAAGAAUGAAAGAAAGGCCUUGGGACCACCAGAUCUGUUUGAUUCUGUUUUUAUCACUCAUCAGCUACAUGAACUUUGGCAAUUCACUUAACCUUCAUAAUUCUUAAACUUUCUAAUUCUUGCAGUGGGAGUGUUGUUCCUUGAAAUGUUACUGUAGGAUUUAUUCUGAUAAUGUGGAAGUUUCUGGCACACAGCGGGUACCCAAUACAUGAUGGUUAACAAAAGUCUUUUGCUUUGAACAGAGAAGGAAGAUGGAUGCAGGAGAGGAGACAGAACCUGUUUAAGUAUUUCUUUCUAGGAGCCAGAGUUUGAAUCAAGACCUUGGAACCCUGAACUCCUGCAUUGGAUCACCAGACCCUAUUCCAGCCACCACUUAACAGUCGCUGUGUUUUGGGUCCGUUACAUGCGCUGGUCCAUUUAACUGUUGAAAUGUUCAUUCAGAUGUCUGUCACUGCAGUUUGGAAGACAAG